GGCUCAGAUUGAACGCUGGCGGGAUGCUUUACAUGCAAGUCGAACGGCAGCACGGACUUCGGUCUGGUGGCGAGUGGCGAACGGGUGAGUAAUGUAUCGGAACGUGCCUAGUAGCGGAUAAACUACGCGAAAGCGUAGCUAAUGCCACAUACGCCAUCGGGGGAAAGCGGGGGACCUUCGGGCCUCGCACUAAUAGAGCGGCCGAUAUCGGAUUAACUAGUUGGUGGGGUAACGGCUCGCAAGGCGACGAUCCGUAGCUGGUUUGAGAGGACGACCAGCCACACUGGGACUGAGACACAGCCCAGACUCCACCACGGGAGGCAGCAGUGAAAUUUUGGACAAUGGGGAAACCUGAUCCAGCCAUCCCGCGUGUGCGAUGAAGGCCUUCAGGUUGUAAAGCACUUUUGGCAGGAAAACGGCACGGGAUAAUACCCCGUGCAACUGACAGUACCUGCAGAAUAAGCGCAAUAACUGUUUGCCAGCAACCGCGGUAAUACGUAAGUGCAAGCGUUAAUCGGAAUUACUGGGCGUAAAGCGUGCGCAGGCGGUUCGGAAAAGAGAAAGAUGUGGAAAUCCCAGAGCUUAACUUUGGAACUGCAUUUUUAACUACCGAGCUAGAGUGUGUCAGAGGGAGGUGGAAUUCCGCGUGUAGCAGUUAAGAGAAAUGCGUAGAUAUGCGGAGGAACACCGAUAGCGAAAACGACCUCCUGGGAUAACACUGACGCUCAUGCACGAAAGCGUGGGAGCAAACGGGAUUAGAUACCCUGGUAGUCCACGCCCUAAACGAUGUCAACUGGCUGUUAGGGCCUUCGGGCAUGGUAGCGCAGCUAACGCGUGAAGUUGACCGCCUGGGGAAGUACGGUCGCAAGAUUAAAACUCAAAGAAAUUGACGAGGAGGACCCGCACAAGCGGUGGAUGAUGUGGAUUAAUUCGAUGCAACGCAAAAACCUUACCUACCCUUGACAUGUCUGGAAUCCGAAGAGAUUUGGGGAGUGCUCGCAAGAAGAGAACCGGAACACAGGUGCUGCAUGGCUGUCGUCAGCUCGUGUCGUGAGAUGUUGGGUUAAGUCCGCAACGAGCGCAGCCUUGUCAUUAGUUGCUACGAAAGGGCACUCUAAUGAGACUGCGACAAACCGGAGGAAGGUGGGGAUGAGCGCCAGAAUCCUCAUGGCCCUUAUGGGUAGGGCUUCACACGUCAUACAAUGGUCAGGACAGAGGGUCGCCAACCCGCGGAGGAGCCAAUCCCAGAAACCCGAUCGUAGUCCGGAUCGCAGUCUGCAACUCGACUGCGUGAAGUCGGAAUCGCUAGUAAUCGCGGAUCAGCAUGUCGCGGUGAAUACGUUCCCGGGUCUUGUACACACCGCCCGUCACACCAUGGGAGUGGGUUUUACCAGAAGUAGUUAGCCUAACCGUAAAGGAGGGCGAUUACCACGGUAGGAUUUCAUGACUGGGGUGAAGUCGUAACAAGGUAG
rnacentral:rRNA from 1 species